ensembl:lncRNA
UCUUAGCAACCCCAUGGACUGCAGCCUACCAGGCUCCUCUGUCCGUGGAUUUUCCAGGCAAGAGUACUGGAGUGGGGUGCCAUUGCCUUCUCUGAAAUAGACCAAUGAACAUAACCAAAGUGUUUUCUUGAGCUUUGUGAGUCAUUUUUAGCCAUUAUUUAACCCAAGUGAGGGUUGUGAGAACGUGAGCUUUGUAGCCAAGUAAGACAGAAGUAUGGGUAGCCUGGGGUCCCAGAACUUGCUAUUGGCACAUGAAGUGUGUGGGGCUAAACCCUUAAAUGUGUAGAAUCUGAUGCUAACUCUGGUAAUAUCAGAAAAAGACUGAAUUGUUGAACACCUUAUUGGUGUCAGAUAAUCAGACAGCAGCAAUAAGUAUAGGAAAAAUAUAAACUUCUUAAAGUUCAGAAGUCUUAGAUUCUAUCCUUGGCUUUACCACUAACCUUAGUUGUGACAGCUAGUCGGAUGCAACUUAGCAACUGAACAACGAGGGUCAUUGUAAAAUAGCCAGUGAAAGUGAAGUCAUAAUGAAGUAUAAUGGUCCCCAAAUCCAAUACAACUGGUGUCCCUGACAUUUGGACACACGCAAAAGCUCAGGGGGAACAUCCUUUGAAGAUGAAGGCAGGUAUCAGUGGGAUGUGUCUGCAAGGCAAGGAACACCAGAGAUUCCCAGCCAGCUCUCAGCAGCUAGGGGGAAGUCUGGCUUGGGUUUUUCCCUCAUAGCCCUCAGAAGGAGCAAACCCAGCCUCAACCUUGGGCUUCUAACUUCCAGAACGUUAUUGAAAGAAAAAAAAAGAGAGAGAGAUGCUGACCUCAAGAAGAAUGAUAGCAAUUAUUGUAAAGGUCAAGUCUGUCCUUGGAGGGCCACCUUCCAACUACCUGAUAUAGAUGUGGACAGAUGUCAGCCUCAUUGGGUACCUGAGCUGUGUCCUGUGAAGUAGAAGGAAGCCCACAGCAUCCUAGUCAUAUACUUUUAUACCAAUUUGGUUACACUUGACUCGUGUGUCCAAACACUGCCCUCAACAUGUUAUAGAAAAGUUGCCAUUUCAGAAGCACCUCUUAAAUGUCCAUACAAUGAAUGAAAAUAAAAUACAGC